rnacentral:rRNA from 1 species
UACGUAGGAGACGAGCGUUGUCCGGAAUUACUGGGCGUAAAGCGCGUGUAGGCGGAUGAGCAAGUCUGCUGUGAAAGCUCCUGGCUUAACCGGGAGUGGUCGGUGGAAACUGCUCGUCUGGAGGACGGUAGAGGUAGGUAGAAUUCCCGGUGUAGUGGUGAAAUGCGUAGAGAUCGGGAGGAACACCAGUGGCGAAGGCGACUUCCUAGCCUGUUCUUGACGCUGAGGCGCGAAAGCUAGGGGAGCAAACGGG